CCUCAGCCUGGUUGGCAAUCAGGUGUUGAGUGUAAGUGCACAAGGGAGCUUGACUGUGAGACCGACGGGUCGAGCAGGGACGAAAGUCGGGACUAGUGAUCCGGCAGUGGCUUGUGGAAGCGCUGUCGCUCAACGGAUAAAAGGUACCCCGGGGAUAACAGGCUGAUCUUCCCCAAGAGUCCAUAUCGACGGGAUGGUUUGGCACCUCGAUGUCGGCUCGUCGCAUCCUGGGGCUGGAGUCGGUCCCAAGGGUUGGGCUGUUCGCCCAUUAAAGCGGUACGCGAGCUGGGUUUAGAACGUCGUGAGACAGUUCGGUCCCUAUCCGCUGCGCGCGUAGGAAUAUUGAGAAGGGCUGUCCCUAGUACGAGAGGACCGGGACGGACGAACCUCUGGUGUGCCAGUUGUUCUGCCAAGGGCAUGGCUGGUUGGCUACGUUCGGAAAGGAUAACCGCUGAAAGCAUCUAAGCGGGAAGCCUGCUUCGAGAUGAGUAUUCCCACCCCCUUUGAGGGGUUAAGGCUCCCAGUAGACGACUGGGUUGAUAGGCCAGAUGUGGAAGCCCGGUAACGGGUGGAGCUGACUGGUACUAAUAGGCCGAGGGCUUGUCCUCAGUUG
rnacentral:rRNA from 1 species